UGCCAGCCGCCGCGGUAAUACGUAGGGGGCGAGCGUUGUCCGGAAUCAUUGGGCGUAAAGCGCGUGUAGGCGGCUUGGCAAGUCUGGUGUGAAAUCUUGGGGCUCAACCCCAAGCGUGCACUGGAAACUGCCUCGCUAGAGUCCGGGAGAGGAGAGCGGAACUCCGAGUGUAGCGGUGAAAUGCGCAGAUAUUCGGAAGGAACACCAGUGGCGAAGGCGGCUUUCUGGACCGAUACUGACGCUGAGACGCGAAAGCGUGGGGAGCAAACAGGAUUAGAUA
rnacentral:rRNA from 1 species